rnacentral:snoRNA from 1 species
ACCUUCUUGUUAUAGCACUGUGCUAAAAUUGCAGAAACCAAGGGUGAGCUUUGGUUUCUGUAGUAAUGCUAGCAGAGUACAUGCAAGAAGAAGAAGAACUGCACUGAAUCAAAAAAGACUAGGGUGGACCUCUUUCUUAAUGUCCGCUGUCCUGUGUCUUAAGAUUUGGUGCAACAGUU